GGUACAUCGUGAGACGUGUAAAUUUCUGGGCCCUGCCUCAAAUUGACUGAAUCCGAAUCUCUGGGAGUGGGGCCCAGGAAUCUGCAUUUUCAGCACUGUGGACCAC
rnacentral:miRNA from 14 species